GGUGAUUCUCGGGUGACACACCUCAGAAUUGGGCUCCCUCCUCUCUGGUUCUGGGUGUGUCACCUGAGAACCAGA
rfam:Myotis brandtii contig183006, whole genome shotgun sequence.